rnacentral:rRNA from 1 species
CACGUAGGGUGCGAGCGUUGUCCGGAAUUAUUGGGCGUAAAGAGCUCGUAGGCGGUCUGUCGCGUCUGCUGUGAAAACUCAGGGCUUAACCCUGAGCUUGCAGUGGAUACUGGCGACCUAGAGUGCGGUAGAGGAAUGCGGAAUUCCAGGUGUAGCGGUGAAAUGCGUAGAUAUCUGGAGGAACACCGGUGGCGAAGGCGGCAUUCUGGACUGUAACUGACACUGAGGAACGAAAGCCAGGGGAGCAAACGGGG